rnacentral:lncRNA from 1 species
UUCGCUCGCGGCUGUUCUGACUCGUCUGGGUCUCCCUGACUCCGAAACGCUGGCUCUGGGCCGAGCGACUGUCCUGUUAGGUCCGGGAAGAGUCGUUUUCCGCGUGGCGCAGAGGCGGGCCUGAGGUUCGCCACUCGGCACGGGCUUCCCCGCGCCCGGCCUGGGAUGGAGACCGUGGCGCCCGCGACCCCCUCUUCUCCCGCAGCUCCGCCCGCAGAGCUCGAUGGCGGCGGCCGCGCGGAGGACCCGCCUCAGAGGUCUCCCGUGAGAAGGGCAUUUCCCAGGCAGGACUCCUAGGGCAGAUCCAUCGUUCAUGAAGAGCCACCCCUGUGAAAUGUGUGGCCUCACAGACAAUUGGCACUUGGAUGAGCAGCAGCCAACACAUGACAGGCAGAAACUGCACAGAUUUGUAGAAAUGGAAUUGCUGCAAAAAAGUACUGCAUGUUCAUGCUGGAUAUGACAAGCUUCCUUUUCUACAGUUUGUUCCAGUUUGUACUCAAACCAACAGGAAAUCAUGACCGCAGGGAUGUGGCAUUGUGCUCAGGACGAACGAGGGCAGUCUCUUCCCAGGUCCUGCAGAGGAGCCGUGGAGCCUGCUGUGCACAACUGUUGAGGGAUCAUCCUCAUUCCAGACACGCUGGACUCACAGGACGAGGGGGCAGGACGCUGCAACCGACUGCUGGGCACGUGCCUCUCAGGACAGCAUCCGCCUGACCCGCCACUGUGGCUGGGAAGGAUGAGCAGCAUGCAGAACUUCCCAAGGAUUAAACCCAAGCCACAGAAGUGACAACUCCAGGAGUUCCAAUCAUGGCUCAGAAGACACCAAUCUGACUAGUAUCCAUGAGGACACAGGUUCAAUCCCUGGCCUUGCUCAGUGGGUUAAGGAUCCGGUGCUGCUGUGAGCUGUGGUGCAGGUUGGAGAUGUGGCUCAGAUCUGGCGUUCAUGUGGCUGUGGUGUAGGCCAGCAGCUAAAGCUCAGGUUCAACCCCUGGCCUGGGAACUUGGAUGUGCUCCGGGUGUGGCCCUGAAAAGCCCAAAAAAAAAAAAAAAAAGGGAGAACAACUCCAAAUUCUUAUCCACUAGGCCAUCAGGGAAUUCCCAUAUUUCCUUAUUUGUUUUCACUUUGUGUGAUAGUUAUUGGAGUUAUGAAGGAGCACUCAAUUUUUAAAAACGCAUUCUAGGAGUUCCCAUUGUGGCUUAGUGGUUAACAAAUGCAACUAGGAACAUGAGGUUGCGGUUCAAUCCCUGACCUCACUCAGUGGGUUAAGGAUCUGGCGUUGCUGUGAGCUGUGGUGUAGGUUAAAGAUGUGGCUCGGAUCCCGCGGUUGCUGUGGCUCUGGUGGAGACUGGCAGCUAUAGCUCUGAUUAGACGCCUAGCCUGGGAACCUCCAUGUGCCACGGGAGUGGCCCUAGAAAUGACAAAACACACACACACACACACACACACACACACACACAAACCAUUCUAAAGAGGUUAUGCAUUUAAUGUUACACAUGGGAUUAAAAGUAAAAUAACCCACUAGUGUACAUUAAGAUGGAUGAAACAGCAAUGGCUAUGAAAUGAUAAAUAAUGGAUGGCAGGCUGGGAAAAGGUUCACCCAGCUUCAUGACAGCCUUUUCCAUUUUUGCAUAUUGGAAAUAGCCUAAACAAAAGAUUUAUCAUUGGAGUUCCCUUUGUGGCUCAGCAGAUUACAAACCUGACUAGUACCCAUGAGGACAUGGGUUCAAUCCAUGGCCCCACUCCUGGGUUAAGGAUCCAGUGUUACCAUGAACUAUGGUGGAGACAUGGCUCAUUUCCCAUGUUGUUGUGGCAGUGGCUGGCAACUGCAACUCUGAUUUGGCCCCUAGCCUGGAAACUUCCAUAUACCAUGGGUGUGGCCCUAAAAAAAAAAAAA